rnacentral:rRNA from 1 species
UACGUAGGGCGCGAGCGUUUGUCCGGAAUUAUUGGGCGUAAAGAGCUCGUAGGCGGCCUGUUGCGUCCGCUGUGAAAUCCCAGGGCUCAACCCUGGGCGUGCAGUGGAUACGGGCAGGCUGGAGGCAGGCAGGGGAGAACGGAAUUCCCGGUGUAGCGGUGAAAUGCGCAGAUAUCAGGAGGAACACCAAUGGCGAAGGCAGCUCGCUGGGACGGUACUGACGCUGAGACGCGAAAGCGUGGGGAGCAAACAGG